GAUGAACGCUGGCGGCGUGCUUAACACAUGCAAGUCGAUCGGAAAGGCCCAAGCUUGCUUCGGUACUCGAGUGGCGAACGGGUGAGUAACACGUGGGUGAUCUGCCCUGCACUUCGGGAUAAGCCUGGGAAACUGGGUCUAAUACCGGAUAGGACGAUGGUUUGGAUGCCAUUGUGGAAAGUUUUUUCGGUGUGGGAUGAGCUCGCGGCCUAUCAGCUUGUUGGUGGGGUAAUGGCCUACCAAGGCGUCGACGGGUAGCCGGCCUGAGAGGGUGUACGGCCACAUUGGGACUGAGAUACGGCCCAGACUCCUACGGGAGGCAGCAGUGGGGAAUAUUGCACAAUGGGCGCAAGCCUGAUGCAGCGACGCCGCGUGGGGGAUGACGGCCUUCGGGUUGUAAACUCCUUUCGCUAGGGACGAAGCGUUUUUGUGACGGUACCUGGAGAAGAAGCACCGGCUAACUACGUG
rnacentral:rRNA from 1 species